UUCAGCACUUUUUCUUUGAAAUUGCAGAGAAAAACUCUACAAAAGUGAACUUUUUCAUUGCAAAGGUUUGAAUUGUGAAUUGAAAAAUAUAUAAUAGUUUGACAAAAUCAUAUCACGUCUAGCAAAAAGCGAUAAAAAAAAAUCGUUAAUUUUAAUUUCACUAUACUGCGAAUAACUUUUUGGAGUUUUAGUCAACUAUUCUUUAGAUAUCUACAUGAAAAUUAAUUCUAAAUUAUAAUUUGCGCGUCCAAAACCCAGUUCAACACUCAAAAUUAGCGUAAAAUAUUUGUCCUUUCAUUAAGAUCUGUUUGAAAUUUAAAUACGUUUUGUUUUGUUUCCGUCAGAGAGAGUGAGUCAAAGUUAGUGUAUGCUUUGCAAGCAGGGUGGAAAAUUUAUGAUAUAUCAGCAACAAGUCCUUGAGCAAAUAAAAAGCACGCGGUUUUUCCUCUCCUAACUCUGCUUAUCAGUGAAAUUUAAUACUCAAUAUGGGACCCUGGCUUGCUACACCACAGCUUUAAUUCGCCAAAGUUUUUCAUUCUUACUUGACAAUUAAUAAGCAUUUGGACUUUAAUUGUGACGCGGCGCCAAAACAACCAUGACCGGAAGAGCCGGACGCUUCUUCUUUAAUUUCGCGCUCAGGUGGUUUUCAGGGGCACGUCUGCAAAACCGGCGAACGGCUUUUCCUGCCUUGGGGUGUGGCCCCGAGUGAGAGUCUCUCUCAGGUCGCUGUCGACCUGAACCUGACGCGCGAUUCUGUUUGCCUCACCUGCGGCGGCCGGUCGCACGAGGAGGACGACGGCCAGGGUGACGAGCACCGCCGAAGGACCCAUGGCGUGCUGAGGGUUGCCUACCCGCCUCCUUCUGCACUCUCGGACGGACGCACGGAGGGCGAAAGACGAACCUGCAAAGGCUGCAAAAGCCGCAAGCAAGACUCGGCGAACGAACGAGAACGAGAACGGCGGCGCGUUGCUAGGAGACGGCGCCGCCACACGGGUGCGCCACCUGCGCCUGAGCAACACUCUAGUUUGCCAAAGCGCCGCCAGGUCACCCCUGAUAUCAGCAGGUACACGAAUUUGCGAAUUAACUUAUAAUUAGGUGCAGGAAAUGAUGUAGAUUUAUUAUAAAUAAAUUUCUUCUGAAAAAGUAAGAGUUUUUGCAUUGCACAUAGGCUUUCUCUUUUAUUUUGUUAUAUAAAUAAAUUUUGCGAUAAUUUUCGCAAAUUUUAUUUUAAUUUCCAAUGAUACAGGACCGCACUUCAAUUGAAUAAUUCAAUUUUACCUGAAUUAAAUUUUUAAUAAUUGCCAUAAUAUAAUGGUGAGUGUAACAUGUCUGGAGGCCUAAUUGUGAUUAAUACUUGAUCACUUUUAAUAAGAAUGUGAAUUUCAAUCAUUUUAAUUAGAAGAAAUAUGAUGUAUUUAAUUUUAUAUUUACGAUUUAUUCUAUAACUUGAACAGAAAAAAAUAUACACAUUUUCCAA